CCUACGGGUGGCUGCAGUGGGGAAUAUUGCACAAUGGACGAAAGUCUGACGGAGCAACGCCGCGUGAGCGAAGAAGGCCUUCGGGUCGUAAAGCUCUGUUGUUAGGGAAGAACAAGUAACGCAGUAACUGGCGUUACCGUGACGGUACCUAACGAGAAAGCCACGGCUAACUACGUGCCAGCAGCCGCGGUAAUACGUAGGUGGCAAGCGUUGUCCGGAAUUAUUGGGCGUAAAGCGCGCGCAGGCGGUUCCUUAAGUCUGAUGUGAAAGCCCACGGCUCAACCGUGGAGGGUCAUUGGAAACUGGGGGGCUUGAGUGCAGAAGAGGAGAGCGGAAUUCCACGUGUAGCGGUGAAAUGCGUAGAGAUGUGGAGGAACACCAGUGGCGAAGGCGGCUCUCUGGUCUGUAACUGACGCUGAGGCGCGAAAGCGUGGGGAGCAAACAGGAUUAGAUACCCGAGUAGUC
rnacentral:rRNA from 1 species